GCCUCCUCUUCCCCCUCCCCCUCCCUCCCCUUAACGAUGUUUGUAGGGCGCGUCCUCUGAGCCCGGAGCUUUUAGAAAUGCGACCUGACGGAGAAACCGCCUACAGGAAACGAGGCUGACAAAGGCGGGAGGGGGCAUUUGGGGGAGGACAGGCGUGUCUGUUUGGGUCUGCGGGAGCGCGAGCGAGGUCAAGCCGUCGUGGGCGAAGAAAGCUUGAGGCGAGGCAAGGCGGAGCUGGAUGGAAGAGAAGAAGAAAACGACGCGCGUUACCGUUAGAACAACGGAGUUAAGGGCGCGAAGGAUGAGAUGGAGUACUGGUCUUUGGUUUCGGUUUUGACAAAUGUUCUGAUGGAAUUCCGUGCCCACUAGGCGCAAUAAGUGAAUUAAAUUGCAACAACGGCCAUGCUUACUGGCUUGGUCAAAAUAGAGUGUGCCCCCGCCCCAGCUCAUUUAGUUUGAACUGUCUGUAACAUUCUUUUUUCUUUCUUUCUUUUUUUUUUUAUAAGAGCAAGGCUGCUUUCGUCCAUUAACAAAAGUUCAAUGGGCAGAUCAAGGCAAAAGUGCAAACGACAAAACCGAUGGAUCUGGUGAAAUUGCUGUGCAUUUUUUCCCUGGGAGUGGUAUUUCAUGAGGGUGAGAGGAAGAAGAAGGAGAUAUCCACAAUAAACUUGAUUACUUAUCUGCAUCAACCUGCCAAGUAUUGGAGAAAAUACUCUUAAAAGAAUUUACUCUUAGGGAUGCUGCACUGGUUGUAAGCAGUGGUGAGUUGCCCCCGGUUCGCAUCAGUUCUAUAGAACCAGUAUUAAAACCAGUGGGAGGCUCUGCCCACCAACCCCGAUGUCAUCAAAGCGCUUCUGAGCAUGUGCAGAAGAGUGUGCGAGGGGCCCCACUGCGAACCGGUAAUAAAGUAAACAGAUAUCAUAUCUUUACUGCUCUAUCAGUCAUUAUCCUGGAGGGAGUUCAACUGAUCCCUUAUAGAGAUGAUCAAUUCCAGGAUUUUAUUUGGGGAAGAAAAUAGCUUACUCUAUUGAAGGUUCCUGCAAGGAUCUGCCAAAGAGGAAUUGAUCACAAGCCUACCAUUCAAAUCCCUUUGCAGCUCCAUUGGGAUGUUUAGGCUGAUUAUGUGGCAUAGGAUGAAGACAGAAAUCCCCGUAUCCCAAAAUGCAAAUAAUGACUAAUGACAAAAGAUGCUACUCUGAAAUACUGGGACGAUACCAAUUUGCAUGCUCUUGUUUUAAAACAGCAGGGCACAUAAGUAUGCACUACUUAAUUUAAUCCAACCAAAGUCUUGCCUCUCUAACUAUUCACAAGCUCUAGUUGAGUUGAUUACUGAUGGACACUUUCUGCUUGUAUACAUGGGGCUGGGUGAUUUGCAGCAUGAAACCAUGCAGGAUAAGGGAGUGGGAAUAGAGAAACAAAGUCUUUAAUUAAAUUUUCAGGGCUAGGCCUUGUUUCUCUUGACUCUUUCUUUAGCUUAAGCCAAAUCAUGUAGCCUUCAGGGGAAAAGGAAACAGCUAAUUGGAGCAUUGGCAGAAAAAAUAUUUUCAGAAAAAGAAUUUUUGAGAUCUUUAUUCAUUAGAAGAAACAUUUACUAAUUGUCUCCAUAGCUUAACUAUGGUUUGUUGACAUAUCUGAGUUUAUGCAAGUGUCAAAGCACUGUAUGGUGAAGACAUGAGAUACUGUAUUAUCAGUAACUGAUUGUGUCAGUAUAAUUUGUUUAUUAGCUUAUCUACAUGAACUAAUAUCGAGGUAACAAUUACUGGGAUUUAUACUUUUAUACAUUUCAUGGAAAAUAGAAGAAUGGAGAGGUAGGUUGACAGCAGUCCCUCUAUUACUGUUACAGUACCUUGGCAGGUUUGAUCUGAAUGAAUGUUUGUAUGAACAUUCUUCGUGCCCAUUUUUGAAUGAGAUCCUACAGAUAUCACUCUUGUUAUUUUCAUGCAAUCAGCUUAAUAGUAAAGAAGCCAUGUUAAAUGAGGAGGGGGAUUGGCAAGGUGGGACUUUAAAAAAAUUAAAAGGGUGACUGCUACCUUGAAAUUGAAGUUUAUUUAUUUUUUAUUUAUAUUUAAAUUUAUAUACCGCCCUUCUCCCGAAGGACUCAGAGCGGUGAACAGCCAAAGGUAAAAAACAUAGAAUACAGAAAUUUUAAAAGCAGUUUAAAAUAUAUUGUUGUUUCCUUAUUUGUUUUUUAUUUGUCCUACUUUUAUUAUUUUUACAAAUAACUCAAUGUGGCUAAUAUAUCCAACUUACCUUCCUGUUCUGAUUUUUCCCACAACAACCCUUCUGUGGGGAUAAUUGGUCUAAGAGAGAAUGAAUGGUCCGAAGUCACCCAGUGGGAUUAGAACUCACCAGCUCCCAAAUUCUAGCCUGGUGCCUUAAUAACUAGACCAAACUGGUUCCCAGCAAGGUGAUUUGGAGGUGGCUGAUUAUGUCCAAAGAUCAUGAUAUUUGAUCAUAAUUUGGUUUUACUGUUUAUGAGUCCAACUCUGGGGGAACUGGAGUAGAUCCCUCAGCUACUUCAGGGGACCUUUGAUUUUGCUUCUUCAUCCCAACUACAGAUUGGCAGCGUGUAACACGCAACUUCUUAGUGUGAAAGAUUGCCAAGUGCUAAAUCUGGGAAAUCAAAAUUGCAAAAGCAGCAUGGCUCUUUUAAAAUGAACUUUUUCCUGGCCUCGAAUUAUUCUAAAGCACGCGAUCUGAAGCCCAUUUUGUUCGUGCUCAGUGGUCCAGAAUAACUUGCCCAUAAUGGGCCAGGUUUGAAGCGAGCUUCCUAAGCGAUGGCAAUCUCUACGGAGCAUGUGGGAAAAGAAUGGCUUAAACGAGGACAUCUGUUCGGCGCUGCUCACCCCCACCUCCGCUCCUUAGCAGGCCAGGCUACGGGAAUAACCGACCGCCACUUCCCCCACUCAAGUGCACAUGCAGAGUCACCAUUCACACGUUGCUUCAGGUGGCCGAAAGGGAAAAAGUGAGUUCCAAUGCAAGGGGGGGUAGGUGAGUAUUGUAUUAGGGCAAGGGGUCCUACAACUUUUGGAAAGAGAAGAAAUGUGGCAACCUGGUUGGAUAUGUAGGUAUUUUAUACAGUCGCCCAGCCAUGUUGGGCGGGGAUUGUGGGCCCGGAUUGUAAUAAGCCAACUUUGUAUAGAACGCCGCCGUUUAGGGGGGUGGGGCGAAAGCCCUAAUAAGCAGGUAUGUACAAAAAGUAUGCAGGCUAUUGCUAUAAUGCAUUGUAAACCGCCCUGAGUCUACGGAGAAGGGCGGUAUAUAAAUUGCACUAAUAAGUAAAUAAAUGUGUAGUGAAUGCAUUCAAAAGAGCACUGGGACCAAAAUAGGAGUAUGGAGCACCACUUCUGAGCCCUGUAAGAUGGUCGCCCCUUUUCCACGCCUCGGGUAAUACUUCAUUUGCCCCAGGUCAUAGUUCAGAGCUGUUUGACAGCCUCCGAGUGCUACGAUCUGGAUGGAGACCUGCGCUGUCUGAGAUUAGAGGACCUGAGUUGCACGCCGCAGGCCAGAUCCGGAGCAAAAGCUCAGCUGCUACAAGAAAAGCCGUGUCCUCGGGCCAACCGCCCAUCUUGCAAGAAGGCUGUGAAUUUGAGCUUAUUUAGGUGGGAGAGUGUCUCAUUGAUCUCCAUAGGACUCCGGUAGAGUGCGCAGCGCCGAGUGGCUAAUAUUGUAUUUGCUGCGCACCAUUAGGCGCCAGCUGGUGGGAGAAUGUUUGCACUCCCUCCCCCUAUUUUGUUAUAUAUUUUAGUCCCCCUCUGCCCGGUCUUUCGAUGCUUGUGAAAGUAUUCUCCAAUACACGGCCGUUUAAACAACCCCAGCAAUAGCUCCAGCGCGCCACCGUUCAACUCCAAGACCCUUUUAAAUUAUUGGUAAUUAAACGCUAUUCCCAAAGUAACAUUCAUCUUCAAGUAAGCACGAUUGCAACUGUCAACCGUCUGGAGGAGAUGUGCGGUAAUCUGGGAGCCUGACCUCCAGGAAGAGAGGGGGCGAGGUGCGACAGGGGGAAAAAAUCAAUAUU